GAAAAGAUUCAAACUCUUUAAAAAUGUAUCUUUAUAAUUGAAUCUGCCAGGGGAAGGAGGACACUCCAGAAAAGGGUAUAUAGUGCAUGACACCGGAACACUGUCUUCAUCAGCGCUUUAUCACAUUAGAAAUGCUUCUUGCGGAGCAGAAGCAGCUCAUUAUCUGUGUGACGAACACAAGUUCACUGCAGAUGGGCGGUUUUUGACUUGACUGUGCUGCUUUGACAUUUGCAACACAAAAAAUGACCUGAGAAACAUUUCCAACCUCAAAGCCACAAAAUUUAGACAACAUCAGCUUGACUGUUCCACUAGCUUUAUUCAAGUUUGUCGAACUGAUCUUCUAGGAAUAGAAUCACUUUACUCCUGCAACACUUGUUUUGCAGCUGCUGCCGUGCAAGAAAAAGCCCCACUGCGCCACAGUGCAGCACACCUGCAUGGAGCAGCAGCUGAGUGAUUGCAUGAAUACUUAUGACACUUCCUGUAGAGGAGAAGUAUCUGCAGUAGAAUAAAAAAAAAUCCUGAGCAUGAAGUUCCUCUUUGCUAAAAGCUCAUGAGAAAAAUAUUGUUAAAAAACAACAAAGCUUUGGUAUUGAGUCUCCAUUUGGGAACCACAAGCCAAAACACAUUACUUCAUGAGGAGUGGAUCUAGUUUUACUGGAUGUGAGAGGUCAGCUGGUCUGCGGCAGUCUUUAAUGGCACUGCCACAUAUCGACAAAAGCUCAGUUUGUUUGUGUCAUGGCUGCUGACGAACUCGGCCCUGACAAAGAGUCAGGAAAUGAUCAAUACCACUAAAGGGUGUAGUGUGAGACCAGACUGAUAGUGGGGGGAGCCACAUCCAGAGACCCUCAGUCAUAUUUCUCCUUCCACGGUGUGGAUUUGUGGGAAAUCCUCUGCCGUCUCCUCUCCAAGAAUCACGUCCUAACAACCAGAGUGUGUCAUCUUUACGAGCUGCACACACUCUGCUUUAAAGGCAUCCGCACUGUUAGGAUGCUCAAAAAAAGAAGGGGGUUGCGCCGCAGCUUGCAGCCGCCUUUGGUUUGCUCCCAAUUGUGAGUGUGUGUGUGUGAUGAUGACAAUGAAGCACAUCUGCAAGGAGAAAUUACUCCAUUUUUAUGUGUACAAUCUAUUAAAACAAAUCUAUUUUAUGAGAUGUAUGUCAUAUUUACUGUACAAUUGUUUUACAUAAGAAAUUUAAGCCUGUUCUUCUAUUUCAGAGAGAAAAUGAAAAAUUGAAUGAGUAUCUUAUCAUUUGAAUGAACUCAUUGGGUAA